CUAUAUGAAGACAAAACGCUGUGCACCAGUCAGAGUACUCAAAAUAUGAUCGAUACAGUAUACCCAUUAUUUCUGAUA
rnacentral:snoRNA from 1 species